rnacentral:rRNA from 1 species
AUUGAACGCUGGCGGCAGGCCUAACACAUGCAAGUCGAGCGAGCGGCGGACGGGUGAGUAAUGUCUGGGACACUGCCUGAUGGAGGGGGAUAACUCCUGUAAACGGUAGCUAAUCCCGCAUACCAUCAGAUGUGCCCAGAUGGGAUUAGCUCGUAGGUGGGGUAAUGCCUCACCUAGGCGACGCUCCCGAGCUGGUCUGAGAGGAUGACCAGCCACACUGGAACAGAGACACGGUCCAGACUCCUACGGGAGGCAGCAGGGGGGAAUAUUGCACAAUGGGCGCAAGCCUGAUGCAGCCAUGCCGCGGGUGUGAAGAAGGCCUUCGGGUUGUAAAGCACUUUCAGCGGGGAGGCGUUACCCGCAGAAGAAGCACCGGCGAACUCCGUGCCAGCAGCCGCGGUAAUAC